rnacentral:sRNA from 1 species
UAUACUAAACCAAUAAUAUUUGAUAGAUUUAAGGUAAUGUAAUAAAUGCAUGUCAAUAUUUGUGAAGGCAUAAUUAAUGAUUCUAGAACAGUAAGGCUACAUGACACAAUCACUACACUUGCAGAGAAUGUUCUUCUUUGACAAGGAAAUUUUAACCCAAAUUAAAUUGACAUCAAAGAGACCGUCAAUAUUUGAUACAGCAUAACCUACAGGAAUGAUGAUAUACACAGAUUCAACCUUGCUUAAAAUUGGAUUUAACUUUAAGCAAGUUAAUAAAAAAUAAAACAACUUCAAAAAGUUAUCCAAUCUAUUUAAUUUUAUUUUUUUGAUGUAUUCAUACAUUAUAUUGAUGAAAUGUUUUGUAAUUGUGUUAGCUAAACGACAAAUAAAAUCAGUUUCUGU